AUGGCUGCUAGUCCUAUUGGAUACAACAUUGUAUGGUUAUUUGAAAAUUUCAGUGUCUCAGCAGGCUCAAGUUAACUUUCAAGUAUUGCGACGUUCCACUGCCUUCCUUUCCUACAUUGCCUAAACCCACAUUGCCAACUACCCCUUUGAUCCCAAGAACCCAAAUCCCUUUGCCAAAUAUUCCAACAUUGCCUUCCAUCCCUGCUGCCCCCAAGGUCACUCUACCUCCACUUCCUGCCACUCCAUUGCCAACUAUCCCGACUACGAUCCCUUCAAUCCCCUCCAUUCCAACAACAAUUCCAGCAGUUCCUUUCCUGUUCCCUCCGCCAUCAAAUUAA
rnacentral:lncRNA from 1 species